UAGUCCACGCCGUAAACGAUGAGUACUAGCUAUUAGAGGUUUAACCCCUUUAGUGGCGCAGCUAACGCAUUAAGUACUCCGCCUGGGAAGUACGGUCGCAAGACUAAAACUCAAAGGAAUUGACGGGGGCCCGCACAAGCGGUGGAUUAUGUGGUUUAAUUCGAAGCAACGCGCAGAACCUUACCAAGGCUUGAAAUCCUAGGAAUCCCGAGUAAUGUUGGGAGUGCCCGCAAGGGAAUCUAGUGACAGGUGCUGCAUGGCUGUCGUCAGCUCGUGUUGUGAAAUGUUGGGUUAAGUCUCGCAACGAGCGCAACCCCUAUCUUUAGUUGCCAGCAUUAAGUUGGGCACUCUAGAGAGACUGCCCGGGUUAACCGGGAGGAAGGUGGGGAUGACGUCAAGUCCUCAUGGCCCUUAUGCCUUGGGCUACACACGUAAUACAAUGGUGCAUACAAAGAGAAGCGAGCGCGCGAGUGUUAGCAAAUCUCAAAAAGUGCAUCUCAGUCCGGA
rnacentral:rRNA from 1 species